GGGGAAUAUUGCACAAUGGGCGCAAGCCUGAUGCAGCAACGCCGCGUGCGGGAUGACGGCCUUCGGGUUGUAAACCGCUUUCAGCAGGGACGAAGCUUUUUGUGACGGUACCUGCAGAAGAGGCACCGGCUAACUACGUGCCAGCAGCCGCGGUGAUACGUAGGGUGCGAGCGUUGUCCGGAUUUAUUGGGCGUAAAGGGCUCGUAGGCGGUUGAUCGCGUCGGAAGUGGAAACUUGAUGCUUAACGUUGAGCGUGCUUUCGAUACGGGUUGACUUGAGGAAGGUAGGGGAGAAUGGAAUUCCUGGUGGAGCGGUGGAAUGCGCAGAUAUCAGGAGGAACACCAGUGGCGAAGGCGGUUCUCUGGACCUUUCCUGACGCUGAGGAGCGAAAGCGUGGGGAGCGAACAGGCUUAGAUACCCUGGUAGUCCACGCUGUAAACGGUGGGUACUAGGUGUGGGGUCCAUUCCACGGAUUCUGUGCCGUAGCUAACGCAUUAAGUACCCCGCCUGGGGAGUACGGCCGCAAGGCUA
rnacentral:rRNA from 1 species